ACGGGAGGCAGCAGUGGGGAAUAUUGCACAAUGGGCGAAAGCCUGAUGCAGCGAUGCCGCGUGGAGGAAGAAGGUUUUCGGAUUGUAAACUCCUUAUCUUGGGGACGAUAAUGACGGUACCCAAGGAGAAAGCUCCGGCUAACUACGUGCCAGCAGCCGCGGUAAUACGUAGGGAGCGAGCGUUGUCCGGAAUUACUGGGUGUAAAGGGUGCGUAGGCGGGAUUGCAAGUCAGAUGUGAAAUGUACGGGCUCAACCCGUGCCCUGCAUUUGAAACUGUAGUUCUUGAGUGAGGUAGAGGUAAGCGGAAUUCCUAGUGUAGCGGUGAAAUGCGUAGAUAUUAGGAGGAACAUCGGUGGCGAAGGCGGCUUACUGGGCCUUUACUGACGCUGAGGCACGAAAGCGUGGGGAGCAAACAGGAUUAGAUACCCUGGUA
rnacentral:rRNA from 1 species